GUUUAACCCGAACCCUUCAAGGUCACCCAAGUUGAGGUUCACGUCGAAGGUAUCAACGUCAACGAAAGUCAAUCUUAAUCGAACCUAACCUACAUGGAUAAAAAUAUAAACCAUGGAAAGACACGUUAGUGUGUUAUUGGAGGGCGAGAGUCCCAAAAUGUAAAAAUGCAGCGGAAGUCAACUUCAUCACUGCCCCUUCGGCACAUAUAAGGCUGAACAAUAUAUGGUCAACAACCACAUCAAAGGUCAACAACCACAUCAAAGGUCAACAACCACAUCAAAGGUCAACAACCACAUCAAAGGUCAUGCUUCGGUGAGGCACAGAGAGUUCACAAUCAUGAAGUGUGGCUUCAGUUGUAGAAAUGCGACACACUUUCAUUGUUGCUAUUGCACGGCAACAAUAGUCAACAGAACACCGUUUCUGAAGCACCUGACAUACCAUCAGCAUCCAGUGGCCCUUCAAGAGCACCCAGAGGCCCGGUGUUAUGUUAUUUAGUGAAGAUGAUGUAGAUGUCAUCCCGAGUCUCUGAUGUCUUUACUGGAGCUGGUGUAACUUAAUGUAAACUCAAAAAAAGAAACGUCCCUUUUUCAGGACCCUGUCUUUCAAAGAUAAUUUGUAAAAAUCCACCUAUGCACCUGUGGAACGGUCG